rnacentral:piRNA from 1 species
UNCGAUCUUCAUGCUACGUACUCUGUCCA